rnacentral:rRNA from 1 species
UACGUAGGUGGCAAGCGUUGUCCGGAAUUACUGGGUGUAAAGCGCGUGUAGGCGGCAGACCAAGUCGGCGGUGAAAGCGCCCGGCUCAACUGGGCGAGGUCCGUGGAAACUGGUCAGCUGGAGGACGGUAGAGGCGAGUGGAAUUCCCGGUGUAGUGGUGAAAUGCGUAGAGAUCGGGAGGAACACCAGUGGCGAAGGCGGCUCACUGGACCGGUACUGACGCUGAUGCGCGAAAGCGUGGGGAGCAACGGG